rnacentral:rRNA from 1 species
UACGUAGGGGGCAAGCGUUGUCCGGAUUUAUUGGGCGUAAAGAGCGUGUAGGCGGCUAGAUAGGUCCGUUGUGAAAACUCGAGGCUCAACCUCGAGACGUCGAUGGAAACCAUCUGGCUAGAGUCCGGAAGAGGAGAGUGGAAUUCCUGGUGUAGCGGUGGAAUGCGCAGAUAUCAGGAAGAACACCCGUGGCGAAGGCGGCUCUCUGGUACGUGACUGACGCUGAGACGCGAAAGCAUGGGGAGCGAACCGG